rnacentral:rRNA from 1 species
GACGAACCGUGCGAACGUUGUUCGGAAUCACUGGGCUUAAAGGGCGCGUAGGCGGGCGGCCAAGUCCGGGGUGAAAGCCCCCAGCUCAACUGGGGAAGUGCCUUGGAAACUGGUCGUCUUGAGGGAGGUAGGGGCAUGUGGAACUUCGGGUGGAGCGGUGAAAUGCGUUGAUAUCCGAAGGAACGCCGGUGGCGAAGGCGGCGACCUGGGCCAAUAUUGACGCUGAGGUGCGAAAGCGUGGGGAGCAAACAGG